rnacentral:rRNA from 1 species
AANACUUAGAAAUAGGUGCUAAUACCGCAUAAGCGCACAGCUUCGCAUGAAGCAGUGUGGAAAACUCCGGUGGUAUACGAUGGAUCUGCGUCUGAUUAGCUUGUUGGCGGGGUAAAGGCCCACCAAGGCGACGAUCAGUAGCCGGCCUGAGAGGGUGAACGGCCACAUUGGGACUGAGACACGGCCCAAACUCCUACGGGAGGCAGCAGUGGGGAAUAUUGCACAAUGGGGGAAACCCUGAUGCAGCGACGCCGCGUGAGUGAAGAAGUAUUUCGGUAUGUAAAGCUCUAUCAGCAGGGAAGAAAUAAAGUCCUUUGGACUUUGGACGGUACCUGACUAAGAAGCCCCGGCUAACUACGUGCCAGCAGCCGCGGUAAUACGUAGGGGGCAAGCGUUAUCCGGAUUUACUGGGUGUAAAGGGAGCGUAGACGGCAGCGCAAGUCUGGAGUGAAAUCCCAUGGCUUAACCAUGGAACUGCUUUGGAACUGCGUGGCUAGAGUGCAGGAGGGGCAGGCGGAAUUCCUGGUGUAGCGGUGAAAUGCGUAGAUAUCAGGAGGAACACCGGUGGCGAAGGCGGCCUGCUGGACUGCAACUGACGUUGAGGCCCGAAAGCGUGGGGAGCAAACAGGAUUAGAUACCCUGGUAGUCCACGCCGUAAACGAUGAUUACUAGGUGU